CACCGAUGCAAUGAUCAUCCUAAGAUUCAUUAAUCCUGUUGUCUGCUGCAGGCCGCAUCAUGCCCCCCGGCGCUCGCAUUUCGGUAGUUUCGGUAAAGUCUCGACUGUUCCGUCUCGUUGGGAGUCGGGAUAAGGACGGCGCCGCGGUGUCGGCGAGUAGCAACUGCAACCUUGCUCGGUGUUGCUGUCCUGUGUGUCCUCUGUAGCUUGGAUUCCGCUUGGCUGCUCUGCUGGAGUUCUGCUAUUUCAUUAAAGCAGAGGGCAAAGUAAUUGCGAAGGAAAACAACUCUCCUUAGGGCCUGGAGUAGAGAUUGCAGAUCAUAGGUGAGAUGUUUUUUGUAUUGCACGGUUGCACCUACUGAAGGAAGAUUUGAAGUUCAACCAUUUGGGUGAAGAUCUAUUGCCAUGCAAAAUUGAAUACUAGUAAGUUGUUCCUUGAGCUUUAUAUCCCUUCUCUGACAUAUAAGACCCUAUACUUAAAAUGUUUGUCUAGAGCGUACUGUACCAUUCUGUUUGAAUUUUUUUUGCUGUGUUCCAUGUUCUGUUUGUUCAAAUACAUUCCAUGUUUAUUGCUUUUGUCUUAAGGGAUAGUAUCCCGAGACCAGGGUUAGAAAAUUCAGCAUCAAGCACAGCAAGAAAUUAACAAUGUGCAGAUUCAGAACUUAUGUCAUGACAUUGAAGAAUUUUCUUAGAACACAAGCAAUCACUCAUAUUUUGAUUUUAGUUCAACUCUUGUCUGAUUCGUAGAAAUACCAACUCAUAAGUCAGAAGUGAUGUGCUGCUAAAGAAUUCAAUUAGAACGCAAGAAAUCACUCAUACCUGCAAAUAGUUUACUGUGAUAUUUCCUUGGGAACUGAAAUAGGUAGUCAUGAAUAGUUUUAAUUCAACUCUUGUUUAGGCCAUAGAAAUAUCAACUCAUGCUUUCUCUAACAGAACUAUAUACGUUUCAGAGUACCAUCCUAGUUAAGUUUUUUGGUUUGUCAAUGUCCUGUAUUCUUCGAUCUAAUUCACACUAAACAUGGGAUCAGACAUUUUUAUCAGUUUUGGCUUUAAGUUUUCUACAGUUGAGUAAAGUAGGAUCGGGACCUAGAGAAUAAAGUGUAAAGCCACCGACACAACAAUGGACCACACUGGAGGAUGUCUAAGCUUUAAGAUAGCAUCCACAUGCAACUGACCUAGAUUAUGUACGCUUUGAACUCUGCAUAGCUACUAAACUGUGUACAAUCAUGCUGUAUCAUUUCACAUCCUCCACCAGGAAUUGGAUGUUAAAUUUGUCUUAUCAAGAGCACUAGAAAAAGCAUACCAUGUGUGGCGGUGUGGCCCAUUAAAUAACUGGAAAGAAACUUCUGCUGUACUUUGCAAAGUAGCUAUGGUCCAUGGAAGCAAGGAAUAUUUUAUGGCUACCACAGAUGGAUACAGGGAGAAAGGGGAGAAGAGCCCUAACUUUACAUGCACUCCAUGCAUAAACAACGUAGCUUCCUUGAGCAGGCAAUGCCCUAAUUUGUUUUUGAAUAUGUUUCAUCGUCAAUUUUUCUUUAGCAUGGUAUUUCAAAAUUUCUGUGUAUUUAAGGACAUGGUUACUACGGCGUUAAUUAGUACAGAGAACACACAUCUUUUUAUCUUAGGAUGUUGGCUAAUUUUUUUUGAUACAAUCGAAUGCAAACAGAGAAUCUGAGAUCACUAAAUGCACCAGAAGCAACACACAAGGGUUUGACUGAUAUUGAUGUAUAGGUCUAUUGGAAGAUGGAUGAGUCACCUGAAUCCCCUUGGUGUUCUCGCAUUCGCUCUCUUCGAUGCGGUACUCAUGCAUCACCCAGUUGGUCCUCAGACCCUGAGGAGCUCGACCCUUGUAGUAGACCAAUGUCUUCUUCAUGCCAAUCGGUCUGUUCUGGUAGCUGACCCGCCGAUCUUUGCCUGUUGAUUUCCAGUAUCCUGCCUGGGUUGCACGGUUCGUGCGGCAUCCAUUUGGAUACUUCCUAUCCCUUGGCCCAAAGAAGUACCACUCGGAGUCUCUGCUAGGCAGGAAUGAUUUCUCUUCCAAAACAAAGAUAUCUCAAUUUCAGUCAGGAAAGAUGAGUUCUCAGGAUGAGCAACUGAAUGAACUUUGGUUUCAGGUUACCUGCUAGCUCCCAGGGCUCACAUUUGUAGAGGUCUACCUCAGGGAUUAUGUCGAGCUCGAUGCUGAGACCAUGGACCUUCCUCUUGAGGUAGUAGUUCACAAGCUCCUCGUCAGUUGGAUGGAACCUAAAGCCUGGCGGGAGAUCAGCCGGCGCCAUGGCCUCCAAGUUCGCUGCCUCCUUUCUUGCUGAUCUUUCUCUUUGUCUUUACCCUUUGUCUUUCCCUUCCGUCGCCGGCCACUGUGCUCUUUAGCUCCUCCGUGAAAUGAUUCAAAGCCUGCCCUACAAGUAGCCCAAGUAGCCUUGUUUCCCUUUACAUGAUUCUCACACAAGCUCUGGAGUCUGGAGUCUGGGCGUCUUACAGCACCGCAGGAUCUUCUUUUCUUAUCUUUUAACGGAGCCAACUUUUAUUUUGUUUUUUUGGAUAACACACUUUUGCGAUAUUCAUGCUAGUAGAUUGUGUAGGACUGUAUUGGGAUGCGAAAUCUGUCAUGGCAUUGCCCCUUUGCGCCGUGGGGGUAUGUUCUUUUGUUCACUGAAUUUGUUUUUGUGUCUCAGAAGCUUGAUCUCUUUGAAGUGUCAGAGAGAAGAGGACUAAAGGCAAGGGUUAUCUAAUAACAUGUCUCUACGUAUCGGGAUCAGCACUGCAAAACAGAAAGUUUAGGGAAGGUAAAAAGAGAAGGAAAGGCCCAUGUAGCCAUGAGGCCUUCCAGUGUCAAUGAGCUUGCAUUGCUAUCUAUUUACCCAUCUAGAUCAGACAAAACUUUUAGCUUUGGAUUUUGGUAAAGGAGUACUCGAGUACUAUGGAUCAUAUUUCACUUUUUUAGUCUAGCAUAUAUGUCUCUGGAUGCAUAAACUUGAUUGUCUUCCAUAGAAAGCUCAAGUUUAAUAAUAGAUAGAUAUGAUCGAGAUCCUUUCUUUCUUAAAUGAAAGAUUUAUAUACGAUGAUCACAACUCAAUCAAUAUAACAUAAUUUUUGUUUAUUUGCAACCAUGGUUGGGGAAAAAAUAUUUUCUGUUCAUCUUUUCAUGGCUCACUGCCCUUUUCUUCUAACUUCGCCAACACCACAAUGACAACAUGCAUGUAAAGAGGUAAGCAAGUAUAGUCUUAGCCAAUUCUACAGAAAAGACAGGCAUCACUUUCAGCUGCAUGUGGCCUAAAGCAAAAUUUGCUGCUAAAUGUAGAUUUGCAAAUUGCUUUCACAGUUGAUACUUGAUAUACCUGCUGCCGAAAUGGUGGAACGAUUCAAAGGUGGUGCCAGGGUACUGUGUGUUGACAUUAAGGGUGCACUCUGAUUCUCUGAACAUGCAGAGGCAUCACGCUUGCAACAAAGUUUCACGAUGAAGAUGCGUGUGAGAAAAGAAUUCUUCAGCAUGCGGUUAUUGUAGAUCUGUUGUCACAGCACUUCCCAUAGAGUAAUUCGCUCUGACGCGUUGAACAACUUGGUUCAAGAUUUCCAAGACUGCAGGUGCAACUACACAAGAUGAUCUGGGACUUGACAGAACUUAGAGAGGACAGGUAUAGUGUCAUGAUUGCAUUAUCUUCAAUUUUGCAUUCAUACUAGCCAUUCCCCUGUUGGGGGUGUCGUGUCGGAGCUCCAAUCCUACUCCACGAGUGUCUAGGUGAAAACCUUGUCCAGUUCCUGGACGGGUGACGGCGGCGCCAUUGGCGUCCUACUCUUCUUGGAGGCGUCACCUUUAGAGACCCAUCUAAGCUCUUGGCAUUUCUGGUUCAUUGGUCAUGGGCGGCCGCAGCCGGUGGUGGCAAUCUCUCCGCAUGGCAAGCUGUAUGGGUGUUGUUGAGCCCACGUGGAGGUGUUCGCGGCUAUGGUGGCGGUCGGAGGUUGUAGCAUGUUUGUCGAUUGUGGCUGCUUGCAGCGGACCACGGCGGCUGGCGUUGCUUGGCAACCGUCAGUGCGGUGUGGGACUGCGUCAGAGGACAGCGCUUGCGGCGUCGGCAGCGUGGGACGACUUGGCUGGCAGCGGACUGCGGCGGUUUGUCCAGCUUGACUGGGCUAUCCGGUGCGGAACAUCGUCGUAUGAUGGCGCUAGCGACUUCUUCGACUUGUUGAGAUGGUAGCGGAAAUUAUGUGCGCGGGUGAUGCAAGGAAGUGAGGUCGACUUGCGGCGUCGGCUCAGCGGUUCGACAGAGGUCCGGGGAGGUAGGUCAAUUUCGCCCACCACCCUGACGGCAACUUAAGACACGGAUCCGUGAUGUGGAGACUGAGGUGGGGUGGCGAGGUCGCCGCAUGCGGUGUUUCCCUGAGGCGACGAGAGAGAGUUGGAGUCCAACGGCGGAUGCGGCGUGGCCCCCGCGCGUUGUGUUAUCGCGGUGGCGACUGCGAGGCAGCCUGUGAGGUCCGGAUUCGGUGGUUUCAUCCUGUCGGGUGGUGUGUGGUGUUGCAGCGGUACUAUGGCGGGUCCCGCAUAGCGGUGGUCUUCUCGGUGUGGUGCGGUCUGCUUCUGUUGGAUCCCUAUCGAUGCAGGGUUGCGUUUGCAGUUUCGGCGAUUACAUUGGUGGAUUGUUGGUGGUUGCCGCAUCCGACGGGGUGGUUGAGGUCCGAGUCGAUGUCCCAAUCCGACAGGGCAGUGUUGUCUUGCAGAGAUGCGUUGUGCGGCUCGCGUCGAUGUCCCAAUCCGACCGGUCGGAGUUGAGUUGUUGUUGGCAUGCGUUGAUGUCCCAAUCCAACCCGUUGAUUUGGUGUUUUUUUCCUCUUUCUUUUGUUGUCUGGUUAUGGUCUCCCAGGAACAUAAUCUUGUA